rnacentral:rRNA from 1 species
GGGUUUACUCAUCGGUUAGGCUUAAUUGUCUGUACUGGUGAGGUGAAUCUCUACCUUCUGAGGAACUUUCAUGCCAUUUAUUUGGUGUGAUGGGAAAUCAGGACUGUUACUUUGAAAAAAUUAGAGUGUUUAAAGCAGGCUAACGUCUGAAUACAUUAGCAAGGAAUAAUGAAAUAGGACGGACUGAUUCUAUUUCGUUGGUUUCUAGGAUCACCGUA